rnacentral:lncRNA from 1 species
CCCGAGUAGGCAGUUGUGGUCCACAGGCCACUGGCAAACAGAGGCAGAGCCACAGAGGGGCUGCUCGUCCCCAAAUGUCUCUCCAGCCGCUCUGAAGCUGCUGCGGGCUGCUGUGCUGGUCCAUGGAGAAGGUGGAACACUGGACUAAAGAGACAGGCUGAGGAAGCCCUCAAGUCACCCCUGAUGGAGGCCAGACCUUGAAUGUUACAAUCCCUCUGCUUAUCGACCCUUAAUAAAAAUCUGAGCAGGUCUUCUCUGCAGGACACAGGAGGCUUUCUGGAAAAAAAAACAUGGAAAAAAAGUCCGGAAGUGCUCGACCAAGAGAUCGCGAGAUGGGAGCAGAGAGUACAGGAAAGGAAGGAGGAGAAAGAAAGGCUGGAAACCUUUGAAUGCACAAAAAAAACAGGUCAUGAAAGAUACCACGAGCCAACUAAAAUCUCUGGCUGAAAAUGUGCUGGACACCAUGCAGUUGGAAGAUUUCACUAGGGACCGCAGUGAUGAGGGGAACUUGGAAGCAGAGCUAAAGAGGAAAGCAGAAAAUGAAGAAACCACCCCCUUAAAAAUUAAGUAAAUUUUUUUAAAGUUAUGUGCAUACAUUCUGUAUAUACAGAAAAGAUAUCUAAAUUGUAUGCACGCAGAAGGAGCAUUGCCCCCACAAGGAACAGUUCAUGCUAAAUGGUGCAGAUGAAGAGACUUUGACAAAGGAAGUUUCCUGAGCUGUGGGCAGGGAUGAGAGCUCAGACAAAUGAUGGGAAGCCUCCCAGAUGCCAAGGUUUCCCACCCCCAGGUUUCAAGGGAGGAGAGAGGAAGUGAUGUCAUCUGAGCCCAGUGAGGCCCUGUCAAGGGACCAGGGAAAACUGCCCCCACUUUUUGCUCCCAUCCUCUCAUUGACUGCAGGUGCACAGGCAGCUGCCUGAAAGAGGGCCUGCGAAGUGCAAGCCAGAGGAGUUGGCCUCCAUGGCACAGAGCAGGCAGAAAACAAAUUUGGAGAAUGACCAGCACUCUUGGGUUUAUUUGACUGAAAGUGCUUGUUUUAUUGCAUUCACUCACAUCCAUUUAUUU